rnacentral:rRNA from 1 species
AGUGAACGCUGGCGGUAGGCCUAACACAUGCAAGUCGAACGGCAGCACAGUAAGAGCUUGCUCUUACGGGUGGCGAGUGGCGGACGGGUGAGGAAUACAUCGGAAUCUACUUUUUCGUGGGGGAUAACGUAGGGAAACUUACGCUAAUACCGCAUACGACCUACGGGUGAAAGCAGGGGAUCUUCGGACCUUGCGCGAUUGAAUGAGCCGAUGUCGGAUUAGCUAGUUGGCGGGGUAAAGGCCCACCAAGGCGACGAUCCGUAGCUGGUCUGAGAGGAUGAUCAGCCACAAUGGAACUGAGAAAAGGGCCAAAAUCCUAAGGGAGGGAGGAGUGGGGAAUAUUGGACAAAGGGCGCAAGCCUGAUCCAGCCAUACCGCGUGGGUGAAGAAGGCCUUCGGGUUGUAAAGCCCUUUUGUUGGGAAAGAAAAGCAGCAGGUUAAUACCCCGCUGUUCUGACGGUACCCAAAGAAUAAGCACCGGCUAACUUCGUG